rnacentral:tRNA from 1 species
GCCUGGGUGGCUCGGUUGGUUGGGCGUCUGACUUCGGUUCAGGUCACGAUCUCACGGUUCGUGGGUUUGAGCCCCGCAUCGGGCU